GAGGGACAUUCAGCAGGCGCCCACCCACCAGCAAAUACAAAUGCUAUCUAUCUACCUAUCUAGUAUAAGAAUUAUUAACAACACCAACGCCCGCAUCGCAUCGCAUCGCAUCUCCCCCCUUCACGUCUCCCUCCUCCCUUUCGUUUCAUCGUCCUCUGCGGAUUCGGGACCGAUCUGCCUGCCAUUGCUGGCGGCGGCCGGCCUGCCGGGAUCUUUCCAGCGAGGCGCGGCGCAGCUUCGACGGGGUAACGCACCGCGACGAUGGCCUCCCGGACGGACAACGGGUACUCCCCCCAUGAUCAAGACUGUCAGAGGUUGCAAACAAUACAUGGACGCUGUUGAUCUCCUGUCUCUUCAAGUAGUAGCUAUUUGCGGAUGCUGUCUAUUAUCCUAUCACGAGACGAAUGACGUGCGGGAUGGAUCAGCUUCAACUAUGGUGAAAAAUAAAAGAUAUACCCCCCCUAGCGCCCGGGGAAGUACUGAAACUCGCAAUGCUCCAAGAACCCCUGGUCAGGAUCCAUCGCAGCGGGUUGAGAGAGCUCAACAGCAUGGAGGUGGCGAUCGGCUACAUACCAAUACUCAAUAUUCUCAACAAGGUGGUCGUGGUGGUGGACAACACCUGAGAUGUGGUGGACAUUUUCAGGAUCCAGCAUCACAUCAACCAUUUGGUGGUCCUGUUAAGUAUCAAGCACAUGGGUAUUAUGGCCAUGGUGCCCCACGCCAAAGAGGAACACCACAACCAUACCAUGACGGGCGUAGGAGUGGGAGUCAUGGACGCGGAGUUCCUGCUACGCCAUCAGUAACACUUCCCGAACUGCACCAAGCUCCACAACUCCAGAACCAAGUUCCGGUGCUUACACCUUCACCACCCGAAACUGGCUCAUCCUCACUACAUGUUGAGAUGAACACCAGACAAGUCCAGUUACAGUUUCAGCAACUUGAUAUCCCGGGUCAAAGUUCCUCUAGACAGGGUAUCCAAUCAGCACCAUCGUCGACUAAAUCAGUAAGAUUUCCAGUGCGGCCUGGCAAGGGUACAUUUGGCAGUAGGUGCAUCGUGAAAGCAAAUCAUUUCUCUGCUGAAUUGCCUGAUAAAGAUCUUCACCAGUAUGAUGUGUCUAUAACUCCAGACAUUCCUUCCCGUGGUGUCAAUCGUGCUAUCAUAGGACAACUUGUAACACUCUACAGACACUCCCUUUUGGGUGGUCGCCUUCCUGCCUAUGAUGGAAGGAAGAGCCUAUAUACUGCUGGACCAUUGCCAUUUACUUCUAGGACCCUUAAUAUUGUUCUGCAGGAUGAGGAUGAUAAACUUGGUGGUGUGCAAGUUGCACAAAGGCGUGAAAAACAUUUUACGGUCGUCAUCAAAUUCGCCGCGCGUGCCGAUCUCCAUCAUUUAGCUAUGUUUCUAGCCGGGAAGCAACCAGAUGCUCCUCAAGAAGCUAUUCAAGUGCUUGACAUUGUUCUACGUGAAUUACCUACUGCAAGGUAUUCCCCAGUUGCCAGGUCAUUUUAUUCACCAAACUUAGGGAGGCGCCAGCAACUUGGUGAUGGCUUGGAAAGUUGGCGUGGUUUUUACCAGAGCAUACGGCCCACACAGAUGGGACUUUCACUGAAUAUUGAUAUGUCAUCUACAGCGUUCAUUGAGCCUCUUCCUGUGAUUGAUUUCGUUGCACAACUCUUGAACAGAAACGUCUCAGUCAGACCAUUAUCAGAUGCUGACCGUGUGAAGAUCAAGAAGGCUCUACGAGGUGUAAAGGUUGAGGUCACACAUAGAGGCAAUAUGCGCAGAAAGUAUCGUAUAUUUGGUCUUACCUCGCAAGCAACAAGAGAAUUAACUUUCCCUAUAGAUGACCAUGGUACUGUUAAGACAGUAUUGAAGUACUUUCAGGAGACGUAUGGAUUUAACAUUCAGCACACCACUUUACCUUGCUUGCAAGUGGGUAACCAACAGAGACCAAAUUUUCUUCCGAUGGAGGUAUGUAAGAUUGUCGAGGGACAGCGUUACUCGAAACGACUGAAUGAGAAGCAGAUAACUGCUCUUCUUAAAGUGACCUGCCAGCAUCCCCAACAGCGGGAGCUGGACAUUUUGCAGACGGUGAAUCACAACGCAUACCAUGAGGAUCCAUAUGCGCGUGAGUUUGGUAUAAGGAUUGAUGAACGUCUUGCAUCAGUUGAAGCUCGAGUCCUACCUCCCCCUAGACUUAAGUACCACGAUAGUGGCAGAGAGAAGGAUGUCUUGCCAAGAAUUGGCCUGUGGAAUAUGAGGAAUAAGAAAAUGGUCAAUGGUGGGAGAGUUAAGGAGUGGAUAUGCAUUAACUUUGCUCGGAAUGUCCAAGAUGGUGCAGCGAGGAGUUUCUGUCGUCAGCUGGCUGACAUGUGCGAAAUAUCUGGAAUGGACUUCUCAAAGGAACCUCUGCUUCCUCCUUUAUGUACGAGACCUGAGCAUGUAGAAAGAGCACUCAAGGCACACUAUCAAGAUGCUAUGAGUGCUCUGAAACCACUGGGCAGGGAACUUGACCUUCUCAUUGCAAUUUUACCUGACAAUAAUGGUUCUCUUUAUGGUAAUCUCAAAAGAAUAUGCGAGACAGAUCUUGGAUUGGUCUCUCAAUGCUGUCUCGCGAAACAUGUUUUUAAGACGACACAGCAGUAUCUUGCAAACGUCGCCCUUAAAAUCAAUGUUAAGGUGGGAGGGAGAAAUACUGUACUUGUUGAUGCUUUGUCAAGGAGAAUUCCCCUUGUUAGUGACAGACCAACCAUUAUAUUUGGUGCUGAUGUUACCCAUCCUCAUCCUGGAGAAGAUUCUAGCCCUUCCAUCGCAGCUGUAGGUUGUUGCUUCUCAAGAUUGGCCUGAGGUCACCAAAUAUGCUGGAUUGGUGAGUGCACAAACCCGUCGUCAGGAGUUGAUACAAGAUCUUUUUAAAGUAUGGCAAGAUCCUCAGAGAGGGACUGUAAAUGGUGGAAUGGUUAGAGAACUUCUCCUUUCCUUUCAUAGAUCAACUGGACAGAAACCCCAAAGGAUCAUAUUCUAUAGGGAUGGUGUUAGCGAAGGACAGUUCUAUCAGGUUCUGUUGUAUGAGCUUGAUGCGAUUAGAAAGGCGUGCGCAUCCUUGGAGUCCAAUUAUCAGCCACCCGUUACCUUUGUGGUGGUCCAGAAGCGCCAUCAUACACGGCUAUUUGCUAAUAACCACAACGAUCAGCGAAGUGUUGAUCCAAAAAGUGGAAACAUACUGCCUGGUACCGUGGUUGAUUCAAAGAUAUGCCAUCCUACCGAGUUUGAUUUCUACCUUUGUAGCCAUGCUGGUAUUCAGGGAACAAGCCGCCCUGCGCAUUACCAUGUCCUUUGGGAUGAGAACAAUUUUACCGCGGAUGGUUUGCAGACUCUCACGAACAACUUGUGCUACACCUACGCAAGGUGCACCCGUUCUGUAUCGAUUGUGCCUCCGGCAUACUAUGCUCACCUCGCCGCUUUUCGAGCUCGGUUCUACAUGGAACCGGAUACCUCCGACGGUGGCUCGGUCGCGAGCGGUGCCACGACAAGCCGUGCCCCUGCUGGUGCACGCUGCGGUAGAGCUGCAGGGAAUGCUGCUGUUAAGCCUCUGCCUGACCUCAAGGAAAACGUGAAACGUGUCAUGUUUUACUGCUGAGUUUAGGAUCCCAACUGAAUUACAUGUUGAUUUGCCAAUCCUUUCUUUGCGGCAGAAAAGCAAUCCUCAUUCAUCACAUGAGUGUAUCAGUGCUGCCAUGUUUCCUGUGCAACCUGAACAUCUCAAUUCCUCUUCGCCCCCUACAGAUUUUCAAAUGACAUUGCCCUGUUUGUCUUGACCACAUUAUUGGCCUGCACAUUCAAACAUCCGUCCAGAUUUGUAACUUUGGAGGUUCCAUGUAAUGCUACGACGAAGACCCUAUAUAAUAUUUCCCCACCUUUUUUUUGCGAA